rnacentral:rRNA from 1 species
AUUUUGAAAGGGGUUGUAGCUGGCCUCUUUAUCGGAGGCAUGUGCACACCCUGUUCAUCCAUUCUACACCUGUGCACACCUUGUAGGUUGGUUUUGAAUGGGUCUUCUUAUGAGGACUUGUUGAGACCUUCCUAUGUUUUUAUACACACACUUUGUCAGUUAAAGAAUGUAAUCGCGUUUAACGCAUUUUAUACAACUUUCAGCAACGGAUCUCUUGGCUCUCGCAUCGAUGAAGAACGCAGCGAAAUGCGAUAAGUAAUGUGAAUUGCAGAAUUCAGUGAAUCAUCGAAUCUUUGAACGCACCUUGCGCUCCUUGGUAUUCCGAGGAGCAUGCCUGUUUGAGUGUCAUGGAAUUCUCAACCCUCUCAUCUUUGUUGUGAGUUGGGCUUGGAUUUGGAGGCUUUGCUGGUUUUUGUAAAUCAGCUCCUCUUGAAUGCAUUAGCUUAAACCUCUGCGGAACGGCUGUUCGGUGUGAUAAUUGUCUACGCCGUGCGUCGUGAAGCUUUGUUACACUUUGUUGUGUAAGGGGGUGUAGCUUCCAAUUGUCUCUUUAUUGGGACAAUAUUUGACCUCUGACCUCAAAUCAGGUA